rnacentral:rRNA from 1 species
GUAGGGGGCAAGCGUUGUCCGGAUUUAUUGGGCGUAAAGAGCGUGUAGGCGGCCAGGUAGGUCGGUUGUGAAAACUAGAGGCUCAACCUCUAGACGUCGACCGAAACCAUCUGGCUAGAGUCCGGAAGAGGAGAGUGGAAUUCCUGGUGUAGCGGUGAAAUGCGCAGAUAUCAGGAAGAACACCCGUGGCGAAAGCGGCUCUCUAGGACGGUACUGACGCUGAGACGCGAAAGCGUGGGGAGCGAACAGGAUUAGAUACCCUGGUAGUCCACGCCGUAAACGAUGGGUGCUAGGUGUGGGAGGUGUCGACUCCUCCCGUGCCGCAGCUAACGCAUUAAGCACCCCGCCUGGGGAGUACGGCCGCAAGGCUA